CCUACACCCACGAGCCAAUCCCGCAGCCGCCUCCCCCGCUUCCUCCGCAAUCCCGCAGCCGCCUCCCCCGCAUCCUCCGCGCCUCUCCCUGUGCCACCCAUCUCCUCCCUGCUGUGCUGGCCAUCGCACCCUCGCCAUCGACGAUUCAUGCGGCCGACAGCGAGCGCCGGUGAGCGACCGGGAGGCCGCCACCUCUCCUGGCCUCCUCCCAGAGGUUCCCGAUCUGGAGCGGCGAGGCCAACCCCCUCUUCACACGCAGAGGGGCGACGGGGUGGAUCGGGUGGCGGUGAUGUCAGAGCUCGAGGCAGAGAUGGCGGAGCUCGGGCUGGAGCGCUCACGGGAUGACGGAUUCAAGGGCUGGAGCGCUCACGGGAUGGAGGUGCUCAGGCUAGAGGCAGGGGAGGACGCCCUACGGGCGAGCUGGAGGUGGAGGCAGGGAUGGGAAGAGGCCUGGAGUUGCUCAGCAUCGGUUCUGUCAACCUGCAAGGUGGUUUGCUCGACCACUCACCGUCGGUUCUGUCAAUAUGCAAGGUGAUUUGCUCGAUCCCUCGCUGUUGGUUCUGUCAAACUGCAAGGUUCUUCGUUCAGCUGGAUUGUAGGUUGGCUCCAGUCCUUGACCAGUUCUUCUGCAAGGAAAGUUUCAGUGCUCAGCAUAUUGCAGUCAUUGCAGCAGCGAGUUUUAUGAACCACCUCAAUGGAGGGGACAUAGUCAAUGACAAUCUCCUCCCAUUUAAUUAGAUGGUUUGCCAGUUUCUUCCUGUAGAUAGUAUCACAAUGAUGCGAUUCAGAUGUUUAUAAUUCUUUUCUAACAUUACAUGUUCUUGUAGUCAUUCAUUUUGAAACCACGGAGGCCGUCGCAUUAUGCAUUGGUUAGACUAGGUAAUUUCUGUUAAGGCUAUAAUUUUUCUAUCAAUAUGCCAAGAUCGACUGUUCGCCUCACCUUUAUUCUGCAAAUGCCAAAAUGUCCAGAACAUAAAUUUCAAGCUUUUAGACCUUACAUAUGUUAUGAACUUAUGAAGUUAUGAUAUAUGUCUAAAUUCAGCUGGAUCUUUAAUUAAAUCCUGAAUUAUAGAUGUUUUAUCCUUUUCUACAUCUGAGUAUACACUAAUUAGUUAAACCUUUUCUUCUCCGGAUCUGCAUUCCACUUGUACUAAUUGCCAGAUUAUAUAUGUGUUUGUGUUCAUUCUUAAUUAAAAUUAGACCUAGCUGUAUAUACUACAAAAUUUGUUAAACUUGCGCUGGGCAGGUUUCCAUGAUGAGUUCGUAGCCUUUACGAAGUUGCUGCAGCUUGUUUUCUGUAAUCAUUGCUCAAAAAAAUUGAUUCUUGCAUCUAACCCUGAUCCUGAUGGUGCAGCUCACUGUUUUUUCUCUUGCCAUCAUCUCCAAUAGUGUCGAGUCCCCUUCCUGGCGCCAAUUGCAACACAUAUCUCCUUUGACUGAUUAGCCAUUGUUUCCUACAGCCGGUUUAGUUUUGUCUCGAACAUCCGUUUUCUUUGAGAUUUGUUUUUGUCGUGUGCUGAUUAUUUAGACAUCCUCGCUGCCACCACAACCUAUCCAAGCAAGCAACAGAUCGAGGAGGACGGAGGCGCGGCACGACGACGACCGUGGCAUGGAUCAAGAGCAUGCUCAUGGGCUCAUGGCCUGGGAGCGAAUCGGGCAUCCUGGAUCAUGACGGAAGCUGGAAGCCGCGGGGGCUGCCCGAAGAAGAGGGCGACGAAUCGGGGGUGGAAGAGGGUGUGUCUGUGGUUAUCGCCUUCCAAGACGACGCGACUUGAUGAUUUAGAUUCGCCUUCCGAGACGAUGCGACGCGGCAAUUCAGAUUUCUCUCCUUCCUCGCCUCAACGACAUGCUCUGCUUCUCUAGCUUGUAGGGGUAUGAGGAGAGAGCUCUAUUGUUUGCAGCGGCUGCAUCAUUUCGACAAGUGAUAUGAUUGAUCUUUGCUAUGUGGACCAAUGGCAUGAUCUGUACCUAAGGUUGGAGAUGCUGAAUUCGAACACGUGAGAAAUCACUGAUGCGCAUGGCUGGCAGCUUUCGCACGAAGAAGUAAAAUUGGCAGGACCAAUUAGGAUGCAUACCUGAAGGAGUGAAUCUACUGGUUCAGCUGAAAAUUGAUCUCUAUUUGGUUUCUGAUUUUGCGUUUGGUUUUGCCGUCCGCUCGUCCUUGGUAUGCUCAUCCAUCUUGGCUGCUCUGCUUGCCUGCUUCUCCUCUCUAACUCAGGUUCUGCGAUCUCUUGUGUUGCUGCAUCGCGAUCUUCUGCUUUGUUGCAUCUCUGUUAUGUCAUCGAGGUUUGCUUGCUUUCUGUCUAGCUAAAAUGCAUAUUUCCUUUUCUGUACCUGUUGUCAUGGUGUUUAAAUUGCUGAUCAUUUUAAUUUUCUGGAUCCGGCACGCCAUCGUGUAUUGUUCGUCCUCAUCCUGCUUAUAUGUCAUGCUUGUGUGUGAGCAGAAUGUGUCCGCUUAUUUCAGUCGUUAUACAUGUUUUGGAGGUCGUGGUGGCGGCGUAGUGCGGUGUGCUUUAUGACGCUUUCGAAUCUGUGUGAGGUUGCAGAGGACAUGUCUGUACUUGCUGGGGUAGAAUUCAAAUUGUGAGGGACGGUUGUGCUCAGAUUUGGUCGCUGCUGGUCGGUUCUUGACUUCAGCGCAUGAAAACCUGCAACUGCUAUCAAGCGAACCACAGGAGGGAGCAGCAGGCAUAGAAGAAAUCGCAAGCCAAUUUUGCUCAGCUGUAGCAUCUUCCACUGACAAUAAGUCUGCACAGCAGCCCGGUGAGGCUAAUGUUCUUGCUCAGUAUAAGCCAACAAUGGAGAAACUGACCAAGCUAUCUUUCAUGAUCAGUUACACACCAAGCCUAUAUUUUUGCUGCUUCUACAUGUUGCUAUGAUGGCCAUUCAGCCCAUUUUCUUGAACCUGCACUACAACGAGAGAUCUGGGCAGCUUCUUUGUGGCUUCCAAACUUGAAAUGUUUGUUUGGAAGUUAGUGUAGUUUUUUGUUGCGGAUUCACAGCUUCUCACAUGUACCGUCCUCUUAGAUCUUCAGAUUUCCAAAGAAACUAAAUGAAGAUAUAGUGGUAUGGUCUCAAUAGUACAACUUAAAGCCCUCCAUGCCUUAUAUUUCCUCUGAAAUUUGCUCUUGAAGAAUCA